GCGCGCAUGCGCACCUGGGCUUCGGAUUUUAUUUUUCUACUCUUCGCCCGGCGCCAUUUUGUGCGCUCCUCAGUCACGUCUUCUGCUCGUUUCGUUUGGGGGGGUCAGAGCGGCUGAGGUGGAGGCGCGGCCUUGACUGUCUAUACGAGCCCAGCCCUGCGGAGAGCUGCCGCAGCCGCGAUUUUAUAAUCCGGAGCUUAGCACCAUGUGGCAUUCAACUGACCUACCCACCGAAGCAGAGACCUAUAUAAUGAGAGCAAUUAUAAAGUACCUUGUAAAGAAAUCUGUGACAGAGCAAGAGGAUUGUGGAGGCGGCGGCGGCAGCAGCAGCAGCGGCUCAUAGUUGAGAAUCUGAGCAAUGCAGUUUGAGAGAAAACACCUGCGUGGAACACAACAUGAGAGCCUCUGCACUGAUCCCAUUAAUGCGGACAACGAGCCUGUAGUGGACCACGAUCAAGGUGAUGAAAAAGACAGAUGACCAUAAAGGUGUGGAUCCCAGAAGAAGAAACAAAUGUUUCCCGAAACUGGAAUCUUUGUGAGCCUCUACUUACGGCAGUGAAUAAGAAUGAAACGUCAGCUAAAUCCCAUGUGUGUGUCUCAUGGGUGUAAUCAGUUUACCUGAGUCAUUAUCACAAAACCUGUCCAGCGGAGGACUUCCACUAUAAGUAAGUGUUGGAUGUAAUCAAGAUGAAGAGUGAUCAUCCACGUUAAUAACCUUAAAUGUUGGAUGCUUUGGUGAAAAGUCCUGUUGCUCUGUUUAUCUACAGUCGAUACUGUGCGGCAUUUGAUUUAUUCUGCAUUACUGUAUUUAGUUGUUUGCCAGUGGUUCUGGGAAUG